GUCUCAAAACUAAUCCUAUGGCUCAGGUCUGUUGAGCCAAAGUAAGGUAAGGUGAUUAGGUUCAGGGGAAGACUUUUUCUGCUCCGAGACCCCAGAGAACACUCAGAAACCCAAGAUCGGAAGAGCACACGUC